rnacentral:rRNA from 1 species
GACGUAGGGCGCGAGCGUUGUCCGGAUUUAUUGGGCGUAAAGAGCGUGUAGGCGGUUCGGUAAGUCUGUCGUGAAAUCCUGAGGCUCAACCUCGGGCGUGCGAUGGAUACUGCCGGGCUAGAGGGUGGUAGAGGCGAGUGGAAUUCCCGGUGUAGCGGUGAAAUGCGCAGAUAUCGGGAGGAACACCAGUAGCGAAGGCGGCUCGCUGGGCCACACCUGACGCUGAGACGCGAAAGCUAGGGGAGCGAACAGG